rnacentral:lncRNA from 1 species
UAUCAUUAUAAUCAAAGCUUUCCUGGUGGCUCUGACAGUAAAGAAUCUGCCUGCAGUGCAGAAAACUGGGGUUCAAUCCUUGGGUUGGGAAGAUCCCCUUGAGAAAGGAAUGACAGAGAAUUCCAUGGACAGAGGAGCCUGGCAGGCUACAGUCUUUGGUGUGGCAAGCAGUCAGACACAACAGAGCAACUUUCACUUUUAUAAAUCACCUGAAGCACUCUCAUGUAUAGUCCAGGGGGGUCUCAAAAGAGUAGGACACAACUUAGUGACUAACCAAAAACAGCAUGUGCAAUUAAAACUUGCACUGAGUUAUAUUUUUUGAUCAAGUUUUUAAUAGCACUUCUGAUUAAACCUAAUAUACAUUCAUAAUGGCUCAAGAAAAUAUACUGGUAAUUAAUGUAAAUUAUGUACAUAAUACACAGGUAAAGUGUUUUUGCCAACAUGAUCCACAGAUAUAUGAGACACAUGAUCUAAAUUAGUUGUAGAUCUAGUUACUAAAUAAAUAUUUAAAAAUCAAUGGUAUUUAUAUAUACCAACAAUAAAGACUUAAAAACUAUUAUAAUGGCAAAAUAAAAAGAUCUAAUUCACAGCAGAAAGAAUUACAAAAUAAUUAGGAAUACAUUUAAGCAAUUAUGAGGAUUUACACAAAAAAAGCUAUAAACUCUACUGAGACAUGAAAAAAAAACUUAAAUAAGUGGAAAGACAAGAUAUUUUCCCUGAGGCAAGAAUUAUUACAGUUAAAAAAUAUUUCUCCUAGAUUAAUAUAUAAAUUUAACAUGAUCUCCAUAUGAACCCCAAUGUAAUUUUAUUUUAUUUUCUGGUAAAUUGCCUCUGAGCUUCAUUUGAGAAAAACUGUGAGAACAGUAAGAAAAUAUCAAAAGGGAAUUCUCCAGUGGACCAGUGGUUAGGACUUGGAGCUCUCACUGCCAGGCGCCUGGAUCUGAUCAUGGGUCAGCGAAUUAAAAUCCCACAAGUUGCAGCCAAAAAUUUAAAAAAAAAGGAAAAUAUUAAAAAAUAAGAAUAAUAAGGGAAAUACAUCCUAUGAGAUAUUAAAAUGUAUUAUAAAGCUAUAUUAAUUUUAAUUAUGUGGUACUAAAACCAGAAAGGUCAGUAGAAUCAAAUAAAGUCUGAAAAAAUAAACUCAUAAUAUAUAAGAACUUUCAAUAGAACAAAGAUGACAGUAUUUCACGAAGCCUAAUGGGAGUGUUGUGGGGGUGUAAAGAUGAGAAAGAUGCAGCACCCAAUCUAAAAGGAUGGUUGAGAUAAGAGCACAACUUUUAAUACAAAAAAAGGUGGGGGGUUAAGUGACAUAAGGGACAUAUAAUUAAGGAACUGUAUAAACUCAAAGGCAGGAGAAAAGAGUCUUGGUCAGGUCUGCCAAGCUGUGAAUGUUGGACCUUGCUCUGUGUCCCAAAGAUUGUCAGCUCACCCUGGUUGUGCAAUGUCAACCAGAAUUAGGCCAAUGUGGGCGCCUUAGCGGCUACUCUACAGUUAACACUUGUAAGUCAUUUCAUUAGACUUGCCUCAGAAGUUCUGGUGGGGUAAUCCCAAGAGUCCUCUUCAGUUGUCUUGCUGGAUUUUCUCAAGCAAGUCCAUUCUGCUAGACCCCUGAAUCUGAACAGCCCCUUCCUUCUUUUAACUCCAGUCCCUCCAGGCUCAUUUAAGCAUAUGUCUGCCUGUUUUUGAUUCAUUACUAUGUUAUGAUGAAUAUUCUUCAAAACCCUUUUGAUGUCUGCAAGUCUUUAGAGUCACUCAGUAGGCCUGUCUGAGCCAAUGUCCUGGAACAUGCGUAUCUCCUUCUCCUUCACAGCCAGUGGAGCAGAAUAACUUUGAUGGGAUAGAAUGCUCAUGCUGUCCUGAGGCCAGAUGUGGUGAAGUCAUGUGGAUCUGGAGAAGGCAUACAUGCAGAUACCAGUCCAGUCUUCCCUGAGCAGGUAGUUUCUUUCUCUAAAUGUUUCUCCAAGGGUCUCCUGAGCAUCUUCUUUAUUAGCAUCACCUUAAGAAACGGUAAAGAUUCCCCCGGUCCCACUUCAGUUCUGCAAGUUAGGACUUCACAAUCUAGGUCCUUAAAGCUUCUUUUUCACAAGUUUCUCUGUACACUGUGUGAGUUUAGUUGCUAAGUCAUGUCCAGUUCUUUGUGAUCCCAUAGUCUGCAACACACUGGGUUUCCCUGUCCUUCACUGACUCCCAGAGUUUGCUCAAGCUCAUGUCCAUUGAAAUGGUGUUGCCAUCCAACCAUCUCAUCCUCUGUCAUCCCCUGCUCCUCCUGCCUUCANNNNNNNNNNNNCAAUCUUUCCCAGCAAAGGGUCAUUUCCAAUGAGUCAGUUCUUUGCAUUAGGUGGCCAACGUAUUGGAGCUUCAGCUUCAGCUUCUGGAUCAGUCCUUCCAAUAUUUGGGUUUGAUUUCCUUUCGGAUUGAAUGGUUUGAUCUCCUUGCAGUCAAGUCUUCUCCAACACCACAGUUUGAAAACAUCUGUAUUUUGGUACUCAGCCUUCUUUAUGGUCCAUUUCUCAACAUCUGUACAUGAUUACUGGAAAAAUCAUAGCUUUUGACUCUAUGGAUCUUGGUUGGCAAAGUGAUAUCUCUGUGUUUUAAUACACUGUCUAGGUUUAUCAUAGCUUUCCUUCCAAGGAGCAAG